GAUGAACGCUGGCGGCGUGCUUAACACAUGCAAGUCGAACGAGAAGUGAAGACGGAAACCUUCGGGCGGAAGGCUUUAUUUCGAGUGGCGGACGGGUGAGUAACGCGUGGGUAACCUGCCUCAUACAGGGGGAUAACAGUUGGAAACGACUGUUAAUACCGCAUAAGACCACAGCACCGCAUGGUGCGGGGGUAAAAACUCCGGUGGUAUGAGAUGGACCCGCGUUCGAUUAGCCAGUUGGCGGGGUAACGGCCCACCAAAGCGACGAUCGAUAGCCGAUCUGAGAGGAUGACCGGCCACAUUGGGACUGGGACACGGCCCAAACUCCUACGGGAGGCAGCAGUGGGGAAUAUUGCACAAUGGGGGAAACCCUGAUGCAGCGACGCCGCGUGAGUGAAGAAGUAUUUCGGUAUGUAAAGCUCUAUCAGCAGGGAAGAAAAUGACGGUACCUGAGGAAGAAGCCCCGGCUAACUACGUG
rnacentral:rRNA from 1 species